rnacentral:rRNA from 1 species
GGGCCCGCACAAGCGGUGGAGUAUGUGGUUUAAUUCGACGCAACGCGAAGAACCUUACCAAGCCUUGACAUUGAUCGCAAUGGAUAGAGAUAUCCAGUUCCUCUUCGGAGGACGAGAAAACAGGUGGUGCACGGCUGUCGUCAGCUCGUGUCGUGAGAUGUUGGGUUAAGUCCCGCAACGAGCGCAACCCCUAUCUUCUGUUACCAGCACGUGAUGGUGGGGACUCAGGAGAGACUGCCGCAGACAAUGCGGAGGAAGGCGGGGAUGACGUCAAGUCAUCAUGCCCCUUAUGGCUUGGGCUACACACGUACUACAAUGGCUCUUAAUAGAGGGAAGCGAAAGGGCGACCUGGAGCAAACCCCAAAAACAGAGUCCCAGUUCGGAUUGCAGGCUGCAACCCGCCUGCAUGAAGGAGGAAUCGCUAGUAAUCGCAGGUCAGCAUACUGCGGUGAAUACGUUCCCGGGCCUU